AUCAAUUUAAUAAUUUUUGGAUAAAUAAAAUAAGUGAAAAGUGAAAACGGCAUACAAAGACAUAUCGAAUGAAAUGUUUGGUCAAAGCAGUACAAGUCAAAGUCGAGUUUACAUCUGAACAUUGGGACAUAAAAAAAGACAAAAUUUCUUCUGAUAAAUUCACAAUUUCGUUAGAAUGUAAAAUAUCCUGUCAUUUUUCAUGAUAAUCUCAACAGAAAUGGUGCAAGACGUGCUUACUGAGGUCAUGAGGAUUUAACAUUAGAAAUUCAAAUAUAAGCAUUUUUUAAUUUUCAAACUGAGUUACAAUGUAUAAAGAAUUGCUAUUUAUGCAGCAAUAAUACAAAUAAAUAAUGAAAACAGGUCCUAUAAUAAUGA